AUGGCCUUCUUUCCUCAUCUUUGGAACACGUGCCAGGCCUUCCUGGAAGGCUGCCGCCGGCUAGAGCCUGCGCAUGCGCAGUCCUCCCUUCCUGGCUCAGGGUCCCUCCCCUCCCACACAGCCUUCCGGUCGCGUGGGAACCUCCGCACCUGCCCAGGAGGCGGGAAGCUGACUCCUUACGGACGGGAGUGUGGGAAGCGGCGGGGCACACCGGCACCACGCGUAUCCUCCCAGCACCCUCUGCGCAGCCUAGGCGGGAUCCCGCGAGACCAGGCUCGCUUGGAACGAGUGCUUCCUGAGGACGUGCAGGCCCCUGAGUCGCCCUGAGAGUCAGAAAUUUUAUACAGCGUCUCAUGCACCUCAUCCUGUGUUCUUCCGGGCUGAUGUUCUAGAAUUUCUCCG
rnacentral:lncRNA from 1 species